rnacentral:rRNA from 1 species
UACGGGGGGUGCAAGCGUUGUUCGGAUUGAUUGGGCGUAAAGCGCUCGUAGGCGGGUUCACAAGUCGGAUGUGAAAGCCCCGGGCUUAACCUGGGAAUUGCAUCUGAAACUAUGAAUCUUGAAUGCUUGAGGGGUUGGUGGAAUUCUUGGUGUAGGAGUGAAAUCCGUAGAUAUCAAGAGGAAUACCGGAGGCGAAGGCGGCCGACUGGCAAUGCAUUGACGCUGAGGAGCGAAAGCGUGGGGAGCAAACAGG